GAUGAACGCUGGCGGCGUGCCUAACACAUGCAAGUCGAGCGAGAUGUUCUUAACUGACUCUUCGGAUGAUUUUAAGAGCGGAAAGCGGCGGACGGGUGAGUAACGCGUAGGCAACCUGCCCUUCACAGAGGGAUAGCCUCGGGAAACCGGGAUUAAAACCUCAUAAUGCCACUGAAAGACAUCUUCCGGUGGCCAAAGAUUUAUCGGUGAAGGAUGGGCCUGCGUCUGAUUAGUUAGUUGGUGGGGUAACGGCCUACCAAGGCGACGAUCAGUAGCCGACCUGAGAGGGUGAUCGGCCACAUUGGAACUGAGACACGGUCCAA
rnacentral:rRNA from 1 species